GACAGAGCAUUCAUUUUACCCUAUAGAUUCUAAAGGAUGUAAUUGUACACAUUAACAUAGUCCUACAAUUUAAAACGGUUACCUUCAAACUCACAAUUGAGAUGAAACAUCAGUUUUCAUGAAUGCGUACAUAUGCAAAUGCUGAUAUAGACUCGAUAGAACAGUAGAGAAACUGAAUUUGCUUUUAAAUGGCACACAACCACAACAGCCCGCGUGGGGAGCUGUGGUCAAAGUGUUCAGCUGUGGGCCCUUCUUGUUGUUAUUUGUUGGUUCACAUUUGUCGACAGCAUUCGGACUAGAAACUGGGGUUGUUGACAUAAAGCAUUUCGAUUGUUAUGGGGUCUUUUUAAAAGCAACUAUAUAACGAAGCUACCAGUUAGUGGUCGUUGUACUAGAGUGAUGGAGGAGGUUUACCAAAGGUUUAACUCAUACGACUUCGAGACGGAUGAAAGGUUCCUUAACGGGUUGAUGUUGGUGGACGGGUCCAGCACCUGUGGCCACGACGCACCUGGGCUGGAGAUGAAAUUAUUUUAUUAUAACCGGUUCGUUGAGCCCAUCGACUCAGCAGGGUUCAAACAGCGGAGCGGCGGUGACCCUCGUGAGGUUGAAACCCAGAAUGCAAUGCUCUCAAGAUCAGUAGGCCUACCUGGCCCCAGCAGGAGUGACAGUGAAGAGACGAGCAGAAAUGACAGUGAAGAAACAGAGGCCAAGAUACUUUCGUUCAAGGAAGUAAUUAGACUAGUUCAGGCGGGAGAGACAGUCCCUGGGCAAGGGACGCAUCUGGACAUUACGCCAAGUAACCAUAACCCAACCCCUUCUCAAAUGGAAAGAGUAUUGAAGCCAUGGGAAAUUUGCGGAACCGGUUAUACAUCGCCAUAACAAUGACAUAAAUAUGGCUUACUUUUGAUGAUUGGGAUUUACAUAUCCAGGAACGUUUGACUACUUGUGUAUAUAUAGGCCUACGCACUAUUUUUGUUUGGCACAAUAUUUUGAAUUGGCUUGCUUCAGUAUUUCCGAGAUAAUAAAAUAAAGUAGGCCUAUAAUCUUCCUGCCUAAACAUCAAUAAUGACUUUCCACAUAGGUAAUACUACUAAGCAAAUACUUUUCCCUUCAACUCAUACUCAUGCAUACAUUCCAGCAGCCUUCAGAUAUUCAAAUAUGAUGCACUGAAUAGACAUAGACAGCAACAGAUUGACACAACACAAUUUCAAUAGCCUACAUUUAUCUUUAAUAAGCAUCAUCUAAUUUCCAAAUUUGUUUUGAUUUAUAACAUUUGACACUGGUUUACAGCGCAAAAGUAUAUUCAUCACGACAUCAGAAAAGGGAAAAAUCAGCAUUUUUAAGAAUACAAAGUAGGGCUGGGCGAUUAAUUGAAUUUCGAUGCGUUUUUGGCCUCCCUCGAUCAUUAAAACAAGAUAAUCGGAAUAAAACGAUCAUUCUGCCGCCCGCCGUGUCUUGUGUGGUAAAUGGAGCGAACCCUUCUUUCUCCCACCUGUGCACUACGCUACGCCCCACCCCCGCCUGAAAACUUGCGCUUGCAAGACAUUUAGAAGAGUGUGAAGAUGGAAGAAAGGCAGCCUUUGGUCGGGAAGAAAGGUAAAACGAAUUCGGUGGUGUGGAAACACUUCGGUUUUGAGGAGUCUGACUCUGAACAAACGAAGAUAUUGUGGAAGAUAUGUCACGCGACCGUGUCUGCACCUCAAGCGAAUACGACCAAUCUGUUUAACCACUUAAAGUCCGCAUGAGUAAUACAGUACCAAGCAAUGAAGGAAAAAAUGAAAAGCUCCUCGACACCUGCCACCGCAACACAGUCCUCAUAUCCACCCAGCUCCCGCAGGCAUAAAGAAAUAACGGAUGCAAUCGCAUACAUAAUUGCCAAAGACAUGUGCCCUAGCGACCCGGGGUUCAAUAAACUGAUAAAUAACUUGUGGUAUGUGUUACCAUCACGUCACCAUUUCAGCAGAAUUGCGCUGCCUGCCCUUUAUGACGAAUGUCGCGGAAAAGUUGCAAGAGAAGUGUCAACAGCAUUAUAUUUUGCCAUUACAACGGACCUAUGGUCGAGUCGCACCAUGGAGCCAUAUAUAAGCAUCACGCACGCUACAUUACAUCGACGCUAAUUUCACCAUGAAGACGAAUUGUCUCCAAAUGGCGUUUUUUCCGAAGACCACACAGGGCUAAAUAUAGCCCAGGGAUGGAGGCAAGCGAUGGCUGCUUGGGACCUGACCGAGGAAAGACAAGUCUGUAUCACAACAGACAAUGCCUCAAAUAUGAAGCUGGCAGCUGAACUAAAUGGCUGGAUGAGGCUGCAGUGCUUCGGGCACAGACUCCACUUGGCCGUAGAGAUUGCAAUGAAGGACCACAGGAUUGCCCGGGUUCUGCAAAAAAGUGGUCAGCGCCUUCUCCUACAGUUGGAAGAAAAAGAGGGAGGUGACAGAUUUACAGAAGACUCUGAAUCUGCCUGAACACUCUCAGACAGACAGAAAGAGUGUCCAACCAGGUGGUGGACUCAGCAGGCUAUGAUGGGCAGGGUCCUAGAGCCGCAGAAGGCCAUCGCAGAGGUCCUCUUCAACAACACCUCACCCCCUCAUGGCAGGACGUCGAUGUACUGGCCAUAAACAAGUCACUAAGCCCUCUCGUUGAAUUUACAGAUGCACUUUAUGGGGAGCAAUUGAGUGUGUCUUUUGUCAAGCCAACUCUCCACCUUUUCAACACCUCCAUAUUGGCCUUGCAGGAAAACGGCACAGACCUUGCAAAGUGCAUCAAGAAGAAGAUCAUGGGCUAUCUCAAUGAGAAGCAUGAUGAGGCUCCAACACAGGAGUUGCUGGACAUGACCUCAGCCCUGGACCCAAGGUUCAAGCCCACAUAUGUGAGCGAAGACAAGCGUGGGUCAAUUGAAGAAAGACUGUCAUCUAAGAUGAAGACUGUCAUGGAUAAGGCCCCUGAGCGAGCAGUGACUCCUGCUGAUGACCCUGAUGCCGCUGCUAGUGCACCAAAGAACGCCCUGGGCAGCUUCUUCAAGCCGGUCACUGAAGGCACAGCUCAAAGAUCCGCUGCUGUGCAACCGGACCAGGACAAGGCCAUAGCUUCUGAGCUACAGUCCUACCUCCAAGCAGGGACACUGGACACUGAGGCGGACCCUCUGGAGUGGUGGAAGAUGUCCCAGAAUUUCUACCCAGGGCUCUCCAACCAGGCAGGGAAAUAUCUUUGCAUUUCAGCCACAAGAGCCUCGUCAGAGAGGGUUUUCAGUACAGGUGGUAAUGUAGUCACCUGCCUGCGCUCAUCCCUGCAACCAGACCAGGUGAACAGAAUGGUUUUCCUGGCUAAAAACCUUUAGGGGUUGCAAAGGUUUAAAAUAAGUUUUGGCAGCGGAUUUUUCUUGUCGCUGCGUCAGUCAGUUUAUUCUUGUUAAUACUCAUUUUGGCCAAAAGGCCUCAAAAUAUAGUUUCAACGUGUUAACAGUUUUAUCAUUGAGAUACGGAUUUCUACUGUGUUUUUUGCAGUACUAGGUAAGGUUGUUGUAGCAAGUGCAUUACACCAUAGUUUGAGUUGUUUUUUUAAAGAGUAAAGAGGAGUAAUUCUGUUUUAAUGUAUAGUACUUCAAGUCUUGGAUAGUGUUUAUUUUUGUGUAUAUUUUUACACAUUAUUUAAUUCACUUUAAUAUAUUUCUCUUUAUUUGCAUUUUUCUUGUUUCAGUUCACACGUAUCGUGUUAAGAGAAAUACCAGUGUUAAAAGUUCAAUAAAUGCUUGUUCUCAAUGAAUAAUCGUCUUUAAUAAUCGUGAUUACGAUAUCAUUUUAAAUAAUCGUGAUUAUCAUUUGACAUAGUCGAGCAGCCCCAAUACAAAGCAGAAUCCACUGCCCGUCAUACAAGAAAAUAAGAAACAAAUCAUGUGUUGCUUGAGAUCAUUACUGUAAUGGGUCAAAGGUGAUUUCCGAUGCAUUUAUAAAGUAACCUGUUGACAAAAUAAGGCAAAGUGCAUGUUAAAAAUGUUUUUGAUCAAAAAUUAGACUCCCCGUUUUCCAAUCAGAACUCCUCUUGCCCCCCGUCUC